GGUUCCCCCAGUGCCAUUUCAUAUCCAGCGGCUUUUGCUCUCGGCACCAUCACAUCUGCUCCCAGGGGGCCGGGAAGGGGCAUGUUUGGUGCCAAGUGGAACUGCUGAAUGAGGAGCCUGGGGAGGAGGGAGAAAAGCAGAGAAAUUGGGGCCAGAAACUGAUCCAGAAGCAGAACCGACCCAAACACAGAGACUGAGGAGCUGCACCUGAAAGGGAAGA